rnacentral:rRNA from 1 species
CAGUCGCCGCGGGAAUACGAAGGGUGCAAGCGUUAAUCGGAAUUACUGGGCGUAAAGCGUGCGUAGGCGGUGAGUUAAGUCUGCUGUGAAAUCCCCGGGCUCAACCUGGGAAUGGCAGUGGAUACUGGCUCGCUAGAGUGUGUCAGAGGAUGGUGGAAUUCCCGGUGUAGCGGUGAAAUGCGUAGAGAUCUGGAGGAAUACCGAUGGCGAAGGCAGCCAUCUGGCCUAAUACUGACGCUGAGGUACGAAAGCAUGGGGAGCAAACAGGAUUAGAUACCCGCGUAGUCCCUGUCUCUUAUAC